rnacentral:rRNA from 1 species
CGGCCCAGACUCCUACGGGAGGCAGCAGUGGGGAAUAUUGCACAAUGGGGGAAACCCUGAUGCAGCGACGCCGCGUGGAGGAAGAAGGUCUUCGGAUUGUAAACUCCUGUUGUUGAGGAAGAUAAUGACGGUACUCAACAAGGAAGUGACGGCUAACUACGUGCCAGCAGCCGCGGUAAAACGUAGGUCACAAGCGUUGUCCGGAAUUACUGGGUGUAAAGGGAGCGCAGGCGGGAAGACAAGUUGGAAGUGAAAUCCAUGGGCUCAACCCAUGAACUGCUUUCAAAACUGUUUUUCUUGAGUAGUGCAGAGGUAGGCGGAAUUCCCGGUGUAGCGGUGGAAUGCGUAGAUAUCGGGAGGAACACCAGUGGCGAAGGCGGCCUACUGGGCACCAACUGACGCUGAGGCUCGAAAGUGUGGGUAGCAAACAGGAUUAGAUACCCUGGUAGUCCACACCGUAAACGAUGAUUACUAGGUGUUGGAGGAUUGACCCCUUCAGUGCCGCAGUUAACACAAUAAGUAAUCCACCUGGGGAGUACGACCGCAAGGUUGAAACUCAAAGGAAUUGACGGGGGCCCGCACAAGCAGUGGAGUAUGUGGUUUAAUUCGACGCAACGCGAAGAACCUUACCAAGUCUUGACAUCCCUUGACAGACAUAGAAAUAUGUUUUCUCUUCGGAGCAAGGAGACAGGUGGUGCAUGGUUGUCGUCAGCUCGUGUCGUGAGAUGUUGGGUUAAGUCCCGCAACGAGCGCAACCCUUAUGGUCAGUUACUACGCAAGAGGACUCUGGCCAGACUGCCGUUGACAAAACGGAGGAAGGUGGGGAUGACGUCAAAUCAUCAUGCCCUUUAUGACUUGGGCUACACACGUACUACAAUGGCGUUAAACAAAGAGAAGCAAGACCGCGAGGUGGAGCAAAACUCAGAAACAACGUCCCAGUUCGGACUGCAGGCUGCAACUCGCCUGCACGAAGUCGGAAUUGCUAGUAAUCGUGGAUCAGCAUGCCACGGUGAAUACGUUCCCGGGCCUUGUACACACCGCCCGUCACACCAUGAGAGCCGGGGGGACCCGAAGUCGGUAGUCUAACCGCAAGGAGGACGCCGCCGAAGGUAAAACUGGUGAUUGGGGU